rnacentral:lncRNA from 13 species
CCCCCCCUCUCUCUCUUCCUCCCCCCAUUUCCUCUCUUCUAGGAUAGACAGUGAUGGACAUGACCUUCUUUCACUGCUACUACAGUUUGAGCCGAUGAAGCGUGUAUCGGCUGAGGAGGCUCUGAGACAUCCAUACUUCAGGAGCCUGGGGGAGCAGGUUCAGACACUGUCUGACACGUCCUCCAUCUUCUCUGUGAAGAACAUUCAGCUCCAGAGAGACCCAGGGAAGAGGUCUUCAACCUUCCCAGAGUCAGCAGUGGCCCAUAAGCUAGGCUCCGCCCCCUCGCAGUACUUCCAGAGAGAAGGAGCCAAUCCCAGGGCUCAGAGUCACGGCCUCUCCUCCCCCUCCACAGGCUGAGUUGCCCCUCCCAUUCUGGUAAAUACAUGCUCUCUCACACUUUCACUUCAUUUUCCUCACUUUCAGUUCAGAUGUCUUUCUGUAUGUCCCGAUGUCUAUCAUCGUGUCCACUGCUUAUCUGUGCCUAUUCUAUUCUCCACUUCUAAUAACUGAAUGAACUGUGUUUCUGUCCAUUUCAGACCUAUUGCCUUAUAUUCCCUGUUUACUUAUUCUCUGGUUCUUCUUGUUGCCUCGGUGAUGUCCUCUCUUCCUCUUGUAUCUUCCUCUGCACUUUACCAGUGAUGCUCUUCUUCAUCCUUGACUCCCUGUCUUUCUCUCUCUCUCCUUCUGUUCUUGCUGCCCGUGUUUUUCUGUUCAUCAUUCCACCAUUUGCCUUCUUUGUACUUUUCUCUGAGAGAGAAACCUCCCAGUGUUCUAUUUCAGUGAGGUUGGGGUGAAAGGUCAAACAGAAGGAAUUCUGGGAAGGAUGGGAGCGAGAGGAGACAUGUUAAUUGAAACGCUUUAUGUUUGCAGGUCUGUUCAGGUUCCUGCAGAGGGAGAUAUAGCCUUUGUGUUUUGUCUGUAAGUGUGUGUGACCACAGGGUGCAGUGUGUGUGUGUGACAGAGUUCUUUAGAUGACUUUGUGUUGUUCUGUUUUGUACAGUUCUGGUUUUGUGCAUGUUGAGCUACUGUUAAGGAGAACUCGGAUAAAUCAAACUUGACAUCAAAUGUUUUGGAUGAACUUUUAUUUCAGAGAUGGAAGUUUCGAUCCUCUUUGUCUGUGUGGGGGGGGUACCUGUCUGUGUGGGGUGGUACCUGUCUGUGUGGGGGGGUACCUG